GAUGAACGCUAGCUACAGGCUUAACACAUGCAAGUCGAGGGGCAUCAGGAUGUAGCAAUACAUUGCUGGCGACCGGCGCACGGGUGAGUAACACGUAUCCAACCUGCCUUUUACUCGGGGAUAGGCUUUCGAAAGAAAGAUUAAUACCCGAUGGUAUAAUAUUUCCGCAUGGGAUUAUUAUUAAAGAAUUUCGGUAAAAGAUGGGGAUGCGUUCCAUUAGGCAGUUGGCGGGGUAACGGCCCACCAAACCUUCGAUGGAUAGGGGUUCUGAGAGGAAGGUCCCCCACAUUGGAACUGAGACACGGUCCAA
rnacentral:rRNA from 1 species